UGGCUCAGGAUGAACGCUAGCUACAGGCUUAACACAUGCAAGUCGAGGGGCAGCAGGGUAGCAAUACCGCUGACGACCGGCGCACGGGUGAGUAACACGUAUCCAACCUUCCCAUAACUCAGGGAUAGCCUUUCGAAAGAAAGAUUAAUACCUGAUAGUACUUUUUCAAGGCAUCUUGAGAAAGUUAAAGAUUUAUUGGUUAUGGAUGGGGAUGCGUUCCAUUAGAUAGUUGGUGAGGUAACGGCUCACCAAGUCUUCGAUGGAUAGGGGUUCUGAGAGGAAGGUCCCCCACAUUGGUACUGAGACACGGACCAAACUCCUACGGGAGGCAGCAGUGAGGAAUAUUGGUCAAUGGGCGAGAGCCUGAACCAGCCAAGUAGCGUGAAGGAAUGAAGGUCCUAUGGAUUGUAAACUUCUUUUAUAGUAGAAUAAAGUGAUCCACGUGUGGAUUUUUGUAUGUAUACUAUGAAUAAGGAUCGGCUAACUCCGUGCCAGCCGCCGC
rnacentral:rRNA from 1 species